UAAAGACCGGCCUCCUAUCAUCAAGUACAGUAUGUAAACCUUUCACUUUAAUUGUUAGAUUGGUACCAAAGCCAACGUGUCCAUUAAUCCAGUGCUGCUGGAUUUCUGUAAUCUGCUGCAAUGAGUCAGAUGGGGAAAUAGCUGCUGGCAGAUGCAAACCCAUUGCAUUCUUAUUUCAAAGGAAAACCCUUUAAAAAAAUCACAGCUUCGAAGUAUCAUUACAUCCGCAUCCUUCAACUGCAAUGCCCUGGGAUUAUCACUGAUGAGCUCAUUUUUACACAAUGUACAUGGUUUAAAAGUACAUUUGAAGCUUGCAAAUGUUAUCCUCUGGGUAGCACAAACAUCACUGCAUCAGCUUCUUGUUAAAAAGGAAACCAUACUCCAUAUGAUUAAGACAGAUUAGCCGGUACAGAAAGACAGUACAUAUGACAGGCCUACAGUUACACCCAGCUAUGAAAAUUGUGUGCACCUCUAAAUCCAUGUGCCUCAAUACAUUAUUCAGAGGUGUCUUAAAAGUGUAGGUGCUAAAUUGUGAGUGAUUUUGUUAGACUACUCUUGCAAAGUUGAUUGGAAUGUUUACAGUCUCUUGCUUUAAUACAUUUUUAAAAUGUUAUUGUAAACCCAAUGGAUGUUUACUUAUUUUAAGGGUCAUAAAAGCAACAGGCAAUAUCUGAAAUCUCCACUAGAUUUUUUCUUUUUCUUGCAAUGUUCAAAAAAAGCUGCUGGACCUUACUUUUCCAAGGGAAUAAUGUUUCAAAAUGGAAUUUGUACAUCAACAUUAUGGUUUGUGGUUCAGGCUCAAAAAUGUGUUUGCUCUGUUUGUUUUAGGGUUUCUUUCCCUUGUGAUUUCAGUCUUAGUCUGUUGAGUAAUUUGAAUAUUGCUCUGUUAUUUUAAGUUUUUACUAGGUUAGUGCAAUAUGAACACACUGUCCAGCCGCACUCUUGGUAAUGCACAGUGCACAGUAAUGUUAUCUUCUCACAGAGUUCUUUCUAAUAGAUCUUUAAAUUGCGUAACGGCUUUCAGCGUGGGAAACCAGUAUACCGGUUUAUAUUGUAUUGUGAUGCGUUUUCCCACUUACAGUUGGCACUGUACUUCAUCUCUAGGAAAAAUAAACUACCUAACACGCAGCAGGUGCCUGAACAGGGUGAAUGGAGGUCACCCUAGCACAACUCCUACUGAGAGGCACUUCCAUUUAUAGAAAUAAAGUGAGUUAUGGUGUGGAAGUCAGACGCCAAGACACCCACAACUCAAGAGCAAGCCUUCAUUUCCUGGAAGAAGCACACAUGCCUGUUACCAUCAAUACAAAUCGCCCAAUUGUAGGGUCUCUGUAUCCCAAAAGUUCUGGCCCCGUUGUAUAACUGCUACUGUUCUCUUUGUGGGCAUAGUGAUUGUUGGCCCUCUUCUUGUGAAACGUCUCCAAAAAAUCCUAAUUUCAUACUCCCAGGUCUCAUAAUAAUUGGAAGUUGAUACAUCUUCCCUUUUGUCAAUGCACUAUUCAGAUUUCAUUCACAUUAAAGAACAAAUUAAACUGUAUACAGUACUGUAUAUACACAUUUAGGAAAUUAAAUCAGUGUUUUCUGCUAUUGGAUGUUCUCUGUUACAAUAAUUGUCUAUUUGGAAAAAGAGGGGAACAAAGCUAAUGUUGUAGCGCCUGUAAGCAUUUGUGUUGUGUUGGUAAAUGGUCCCUUGAGCUGUGUAGAGAAAGUUAAAUAAUAAUAACCACCUGAGCCUUUUUUUAAUUAAGGCACAUCAAGCUGUAUUGUUCAGUGCACAAUAUAUACAUCUUUUAUACGUUUCUUUCACAUUUGCCCUUGUUCCAUUGGAGCAUUUUGUGACAUAGCAGAAUCAAAUCACCAUUGCUGUGGUAGACUAUGAAAACUACCAUGCUUUGUUCAUGAAUAUGACAUGUACAGUUGUGAGCAGUUGUAGUGUAUUACCUUUCAUACUGCAUCAGAUAUGUUGUGCGCAGAAACAAUAGAAACUUUCAUUAAUGAAAAACUUUCAUUUAGUGUGCUGCUUGCUGUAUGAAAGAUAAGAAUAAAAGCAUAAAAAUAGUUCUGAGGUGUGUAGGCUGUAUUUUUUAGUCUUGGG
ensembl:lincRNA